UACGUAGGGGGCUAGCGUUGUCCGGAAUCAUUGGGCGUAAAGAGCGUGUAGGCGGCCCGGUAAGUCCGCUGUGAAAGUCGGGGGCUCAACCCUCGAAUGCCGGUGGAUACUGUCGGGCUAGAGUGCGGAAGAGGCGAGUGGAAUUCCUGGUGUAGCGGUGAAAUGCGUAGAGAUCGGGAGGAACACCCGUGGCGAAGGCGGCCAUCUGGACCAGCACUGACGCUGAGGCACGAAAGCGUGGGGAGCAAACAGG
rnacentral:rRNA from 1 species